CCGACGCCCCGCAGCUCCCCUGAGGCUGCUGCUGUGGUGGCGGCGGCGGCGCGGUCCCUCCGGGAGGAGCGGCGUGGGCCGGGCGGCGGCCGCGGAGUGUUGAGCCCAGCACGGCGGCAGCAGUGGAGACGGCGGCAGGCGCGGGCCCCAAGCUGGUCCGCGGGCAGGUGUUCGACGUGGGGCCGCGCUCCAGCAGCCUCAUCCGCGAGGGCUCCUACUGCGUGGUGUGAUUUCCAGCUGUCUUCAAGGCUUGAUCAGACUCAGAGUAAGGAUGUUUGCUGAGACCCGAGUCUCCUACAAUCGCUGUAUAUAGUGCCAGACAUUGGAACCAUCCAGACUCAGAACCACCUGGGCCACCAGGAGUAAAACCUCAGAGUGUCACAGUGAGGCUGUCUUCAAAGGAACCAAAUGAAAAAGAUGAUGGAGUUUUUAAGGCUCCUGCACCACCACCCAAAGUGAUAAAAACUGUGAUAAUACCUACUCAGCCCUACCAAGAUGUAGUUACUGCACUGAAAUGUGGAAAAGGAGACAAAGAAGUAGGCAACUAUGUGCAGUUUUACUGCACUUAGAUAGAAUUUUGUGUGUUAUCCAGCCUUUUAAUGUCCUGAACACACAUUAGUACCCUGGUUCUCAACUUUGAACCACGAACUUAUCCUACUACUACCAAUGUUUUACAGCAUUUCUUUUGGUUGCCAUCUGAUAAAUAGAGCCCAGGAAGCCCACAGAUUUAAAUACGCUACUUCAGAGUUACAAGGAAGGGGACUUUUGUUUCCUUGGCGGUUAUAUACUGUUGUUCAGGAUUUGAAGCACUUCAGUGAUGUGGUGGAAUUUGGUGAAACUGAGUACUUGUUAAGUGGCUUGAAGAGCUCUCGGGCCUCUAAACACACUUUGCCUUAGGAGUCUGGUACAGGGCAAUGCUAUUCAGGAUAAAAAAGUAAUGGAAGACACAGUUCCUGCGUUGAAGAGGUUACUGUGUUGGGAGAUGAAUGAUACAUACACGAAACAACUGGGGAAAACACCAGGCUGGAUAAAAUCAAGUGUUCGGGUGCUUGGUUCAGACUGCAAGCACUGUAGAAUUUCAGAAGCAAGAAAGAUCACACAAGAAGAGAAAUCAAAGAGCAGUUACUCUGAAAGGUGUCUACUGACGUGUGACCACUAUGGUUGGUGCUUGGGCCUUGAUUCAUGCAGGCCCCUUGGAAGAAUGUCUCCCUGGCGCUUUCUGGACUGCUGGCCUUUUCUGCUAAUUUCCUGCCACUCUCAAGCAUGGGCAGCAGGAAACUUGUGAUGAAGCCACUGUGGAAAACAGUAUGGAGAUUCCUCAAAAGACUAGGAAUAGACUUAACAUAUGACCCAGUCAUCCCGCUUGUGGGCAUAUAUCCAGAAGGAACCCUACUUCAAAAAGACACCUACACCCCAAUGUUCAGAGCAGCACUAUUUACAAUAGCCAAGACAUGGAAACAGCCUAAAUGUCCAUCGACAGAUGACUGGAUAAAGAUGUAUAUUUAUACAAUGGAAUACUAUUCAGCCAUAAAAACCGAUAACAUAACGCCAUUUGCAGCAACAUGGAUGUUCCUGGAGAAUGUCAUUCUAAGUGAAGUAAGCCAGAAAGAGAAAGAAAAAUACCAUAUGAGAUCGCUUAUAUGUGGAAUCU